AGUCCCCACAGCACUCCAAGUCGCAGGGUGCCCUCUAUCCAGAGUCCUGGCAGCCCCUGGGGAAGCAGAUUUCCCAGAGAUCCUUGUAGCAACCCAAGUAAAGCCAUGUCCGCCAGCAGCAGAGAGACCCAGGGCCUCAGCCACAGAUCAUGCUGCCCAUGGAGAGGCCCAUCCCCCGGUACUGCAGCAUCAUGUUGGAAAGCAGCUUGGAUGCUGCAGACACGGAGAUGCGUUCCCCAUUCCGAAGAUAAUACAACCUGUCCGAGGAGGAGGAGGAGAGAGAAGGAGGCCUCAGGGGCGGCAGCUACACCUGCAUUCAUUUUCUCCCAUAGCACGAGGGAGCAGGGAUUGUAGAGAUGAGUG
rnacentral:lncRNA from 1 species